rnacentral:rRNA from 1 species
GAUGAGCGCUGGCGGCGUGCCUAAUACAUGCAAGUCGAGCGAACAGACGAGGAGCUUGCUCCUCUGACGUUAGCGGCGGACGGGUGAGUAACACGUGGAUAACCUACCUAUAAGACUGGGAUAACUUCGGGAAACCGGAGCUAAUACCGGAUAAUAUAUUGAACCGCAUGGUUCAAUAGUGAAAGACGGUUUUGCUGUCACUUAUAGAUGGAUCCGCGCCGCAUUAGCUAGUUGGUAAGGUAACGGCUUACCAAGGCAACGAUGCGUAGCCGACCUGAGAGGGUGAUCGGCCACACUGGAACUGAGACACGGUCCAGACUCCUACGGGUGGCAGCAGUAGGGAAUCUUCCGCAAUGGGCGAAAGCUUGACGGAGCAACGCCGCGUGAGUGAUGAAGGUCUUCGGAUCGUAAAACUCUGUUAUUAGGGAAGAACAAAUGUGUAAGUAACUAUGCACGUCUUGACGGUACCUAAUCAGAAAGCCACGGCUAACUACGUG